AGAGUUUGAUCCUGGCUCAGAGCGAACGCUGGCGGCAGGCUUAACACAUGCAAGUCGAACGCCCGUAGCAAUACGGGAGUGGCAGACGGGAGAGUAACACGUGGGAACGUACCCUUCAGUUCGGAACAACCCAGGGAAACUUGGGCUAAUACCGGAUACGUCCGCAAGGAGAAAGAUUUAUCGCUGAAGGAUCGGCCCGC
rnacentral:rRNA from 1 species